UACGUAGGGUGCAAGCGUUAAUCGGAAUUACUGGGCGUAAAGCGUGCGCAGGCGGUUAUGUAAGACAGGUGUGAAAUCCCCGGGCUCAACCUGGGAACUGCAUUUGUGACUGCAUGGCUAGAGUACGGUAGAGGGGGAUGGAAUUCCGCGUGUAGCAGUGAAAUGCGUAGAUAUGCGGAGGAACACCUGCGUGUAGACGGCUUUCUGGACCAUUGUUGACGCUGAGACACGAAAGCGUGGGUAGCAAACAGG
rnacentral:rRNA from 1 species